rnacentral:misc_RNA from 1 species
AAGGAUAUCAGGCAUUGGUAGCUCAGGAAAAUGAGAAAGAUCGACAAAACCCACUUCUUCAGCCCUUGCAGCAGCAUCUUCAGCUUGUUGGCACAAAAACUUAAGGAGAAGAGAGGUAAUUCUGUAUAUCUGAAUAGACAUUGCAUCUGAAAAGUGUGUCUGCGAAGUCAGGUUAACAUGCUCAUUUGGUUGAUCUUUGAUCACAGUACCAGUUCUAGACGAAAAAG